CGAACGGGUGAGUAAUACGUGAGUAACCUACCUUUAACUCUGGGAUAAGCCUGGGAAACUGGGUCUAAUACCGGAUACGACCAAUCUCCGCAUGGAGUGUUGGUGGAAAGCGUUAUGUAGUGGUUAUAGAUGGGCUCACGGCCUAUCAGCUUGUUGGUGAGGUAACGGCUCACCAAGGCGACGACGGGUAGCCGGCCUGAGAGGGUGACCGGCCACACUGGGACUGAGACACGGCCCAG
rnacentral:rRNA from 2 species